rnacentral:misc_RNA from 1 species
CGCAACGCAGCGCUCACUCCUGCAUUCUCUUUCGUUGGUGCUUCACUCAAUAUUCCGCUGCACAGCACACGAACAUGGGCCAAGGGCAGGUGCACCGAGUGUCGGCUAUCCAGCCGGACGCGCGUCGCAAAUGCCCGAUAUCGACGGCGAAGACCAUGACCGCAGCAGCCGCAGCGCCAGCAACGGCCGUCACACCGACCAAACCGCUGCAGUCCAGUGCUACGGCCGACGCGCCCGCCGCAGCGCCUCUAUCGCGUCCGUAUAGUCUAGCGUCCAAAGCUGGCAACCCGCAAGAUGAAAACGGCUACGCCAUAGACGGAGUGUGCACAGCGACGAAGCCAUUGCCCUCGGCACUCAGAACACCGCACAAGCCGGAUGCCGACCGCUACACUGGCGGAUCGACAGGGACACCCCAGAGAGACAGCGGGCAUCAUCACGGCAGCGGCAGCGCCAGUGUCGCCAUCAGUUACCCAGAUCACAUGGAUAGUAGCCGCUUGCUCGUCCCCCUCGCCCUCAAUCCCUCUGAUAUCGACAAGGUCUCUGGCGCCGACUCCACGGGCGCGCGACACGUCUAUGGCUCCACCACUGCCGUAUCCACCGCUCAGGCGAACAAGCGCCGCGAGUCGGAGUUCUGCGAAGCCGCCAGCGUCGCGGGAGCGGAAGAGGUCUUGAAUGCGCCAGUUGGCGAGCUGGAAUGCAUGGCGUCGGGCUUUCUCUCCAUAAGUGACUACAUAUUUGUCGCUGAGUCGCUCAAGACGGUGUCGGCGAGGAUGUUGGAGGAGGUGGGCGUCAACAACAGGGGCGCCAUGAGCGGCGGUGCCAACGCUCCUCUGCGCCAGAUUGUGGUCGACCACCACCCCGAUGCAGCGACGGCGUUGACCGCGUCGUGGGUGGCGAUGCGCGACGCACUGGUGGCUCGCAAACGCGGCAGCGUCCUCGACCACACAAGCGCUGUGAAGAGCCGCGAUGGCGGUGCCACCAUCGUCAGAGGCGCCACGGGCAUCAGCGGCUUUGCGUCCUCGACAACAACAGCGGCGCCUCAACGAGAUGACCACGGCGAUGCGGAGCGCGCCGCGAGCUACUCGAAGAUGAAGAGCUUGGAUGACGCAGAGACGACAGAUGCCUGCGACGAGACCGCACCGCACCUGUUCAAUACCGAAAAGGCGGACUGGAGCGGCGACGACGACAGCAGAGGCAGUGUGAAGACGCGGAUGGGCGUCGUCUCCGUUUCCGGGGCGUCGUUGGCGACACACACAGCGGCAGGGCGCGACGACGGCCUCGGUAGCGAGAGCGAAGAGACGACGGAGAUGAACAAAACAGUGGCGGAGACGGGCAAGGGCGCUGCGGCGCCGACGACGCCGCUCACAUCGCGGCCAAUGGACACCGUAGCUCCAAUGGCAAACCUGAACGGCGUGUUCAGCGUCACGGGACACGUGCCAGACCGUGUCCCCUUCCCGCACCUCCCGUCGCAGCCGCUGGCGGAGCUUACCAGGGUACCAGCGCCACCGCCGCGGCCACUCUCCAUGUCGGAUCUCACCGCCAUCGCCGAGCAGGACGACGUGGUGGACUUUUACCUGCAGUCUUUGGCGAAGCGUGUGCGGGGAAUUGAGAGCAAGCUGCGGGUGAUGAAUCCGUCCUCGGUGUUGCGGUUCUUCUUGACCUCCGCGCUUUCCGAUGCAGACUCCUCUGGCAUGUCGGCUCUGUUGCCCGCCACGACGUCAGUGCCGGUGCGUCUACCUGGCUGCGUAGACGACAGCUCUGCCGCGGACCCGCAAAGCAGUGGUACGUGGAUUUCGAAGAAGGAGAUCGUGUUGCCAGCCAUGAACAAGGAGGAAGCGCAGGCGGCGCAGACCCGUGAAGACGCGCUGGCUGCCAUGGGCGGUGACCUUGUCAGGCUGUUCAGCGACACGAAGGACAUCACACUUCGCUACAUGCUCAUCUUCGCCGAGAGCAUGCCGCUCGGCAUCAACUCGCGACUGAAUCACGACUACCUCUUACCCACUGCCGCCAUCCCGGAGAACUACGUUGGAUGCGGCGUUCACGCGCGCCGCAAGAAGGACUUCUUUGUCUCUAUGACGGAGCGCGUCGCGCUGCUGAGUGGGCACCACAGCUUUAGAACGCCCGAGACACUGUUGCUGGGGAUCAGCCAGCUGUCCAACCUCGCGUCGCAGAUGAUGUCGUCGUUUGCGCUUGGUGCCGUUCUUGGCUGUGUAUCGCGCUGGCGUGAGCUGCAUAAGUCAGGCCAUACCGCCUCGGACGAGGUGGUGGAGACGAUGGAGCGGUUCGCGACGGCGUACUGCACCGGCUACAAAAUCCUCAUGAACGACGCGUUCCCCACUAUGCGGAAGCAGUACCCAAACCUGUUCAUUGUCAGCUCCUUCGCCGUGAAGGAGGAGAACAGUGGAGGGGCGCCACCGAUGCUGACGGUCGCGAUGUCGAUACUCAUGAAGCUUCUCUUCCUCUUCGCUGGCGGACGCGAGAGCAUCCGCGCCGAUGACCGACGCAUGAUGGCGGAUGCCCUACGGGAAGAACAGCAGCGGCGGGCGGAGCGGCGCACGCCGACAGCUGCACCACACCCCUCGCCUGUCUCGAGUAUCAGCGUCGCUGCAGUGCCGCCGGUAGCGGCUGCUACCGCCCGUCUCUCGGAGUCGGCAGCCACUACGAAUGCAUGGCGCGAGCGAGCCGGCAGUGCGCCACGCAACGCAGCGUCCCUGCCCGUUCCCGUCGCAGCAGAUGCGACGGGCGACUUUAGCCUCGUGUGCAGCGAGGGCAAGGCAGGAGACGCAUGCAAGCUCGGCGAUGAUGUGGCCCUUGCCGUUGCUCUGCAGGUGCCUUCUGCCACCCUCAUCGUGGACAUGGGUGCGCUGCUAAUGAGCGGCCCGCUGGCGGCGCACAGGUCGACAGCGGCCUUGGUGCGCACAGCGCGGGCGGUGAGUUGCACGUGGCGGGUUCUGUUUCAGGCCGCAGGCCUUCUGCCCUUUGGCCGUGCCUGUCCAGUGGAGAUGGCGAAGUGGCUGCCGCUUUUUCCUCUAUACACCCUCAGCACAGGUGCGAAGCACGUGAUGCUUUCGGUGCAUGCCAGGGCGGCCGGACAGACGCCGCUCAAUUUCGGGCCGGUGCUGCGAGAGGACGCCCUGCAGUCUGCGGUUGACUUCAUCCAAGAUUCGGCGCGUGCGCAGGACGAGAAGAAGCUGUCCGUGUUGGGGCUGGGCACGACGACCAGCGAAUGGAGCUUGCACCUGUCACCAACGGCGAUCGAGUCGUCGCCGGCGAGCCGCAAAGGUGGUAUGAGCUGGCCAAGCACACUUACGCUAGGCAGCCCCGUCGUGCCAGUGAUUGCCGCCGCAGAGAAGCCCGUCGCACCGAUGUCAGCGCAGCGCUCCUACCAUCUCCAUCCCUCCUUCACAGCGGCGCCGGCACACUCUUGGAGCAGCACUUUAAAUGAAGACUCUUUCCACGCGAAGCCGACAGUGCGAGCCACGCCAGGCAUAGCCACGGAGCAGCGGCAGGACUUCUACGAGCUGUGCGCACGCCAGUCCGCGGCGCCGUUCUUGCCAGGUGUAAACAUCACGAAUCAGGUGCACGCCUUCCCGCUGCCCGGCGGCGUGGCGAUGCUGCGGGUGGAGAAGCUUGCAGACCGCUCCCCGGCCACGGUGCAGCGUUUGAAGACGUACCAUGACCGGCUAGCGCUGAUCAUGUCAUGGCGGCGUGUGUCGCUGAGCCACUCGCACAGCUGCACGCCAGCGACAGAUGAGGUGGCGGCAGCGACGGCAACGGGGCAGACAGGCGAUGCCUGCAUCACCACCACAGUGGUAGAAGCGCCGGUGCACGAGGGCGAUGAGCUCACGAUUCGCUGGGGCAACCCGCCAAAGGGCCGAGCAGCCGCGACGGCGAUGAGUGUGCAGGCCAGCUUCUGCAACCCGAGCGGCUUCAUGAACCGGCGAUCGUCCACGGCGGUGCAGAGUAUCGCAGUGAGCGAGGCAGCGCAGACAGCAUCAGCGGCAGCCGUGCUCAGCGCGCAGGAAUCAGUGGACUCAAACGAGUCCCACGCACGCGCGCACAGCAGCCACUACCCCACGCUGGCAGCCGCGAUACGGCAUAAAAGGAAGUCUCUGCUUUUCUUUGCGACUGCGUUUUCGAGCGCGGCCCCUCCGCCCCCUCCACGCUCCCAGAAGACUUCUCGCGCCGUGUCUCUGGAGACGGUUGUCGCCGCCGCUCCUGCUGUCGAACCGACGGAGGAGAGCUUGCCUGACGUGCACGUCCCUGCGAUGCAGCGCCGCCGCAUUUGCCUAAUCCUGGCAACAGCGAACCCCAGGGAGUUUCUCGUCGUGUUGGACACGCCAAACAGCAUUGCGCCCUGUGAGGCUGCGUCGCUCCGCACGCCGAGUGUCGUGGGUGUCCUCCACCACCGCCGGCACUGCGCGCCGUUCACGCGCGAGGUGAGCCGUGAGUGCGUAUGGACGAACCCGGAGUUCGCUCAGAGCUCUAGCGCCGGCGUUCCCGCCCCCGGCGCGCCGCCGCUUUCUUGGGCGCCCGCCGGGCUGUCCGUGAUCACGCCAGCCAUGGCGCUGCAGGUGCCCGUGUUGCUGGGCUGGCUGCUCGGGCAGUCCGCUGGAAAUGAGGAAAUAUUCACCCUUCCUCUGCCGCCAUUGGCCUUCCGCAUCUUGGGCCUUGCGGUGCAGCUGGAGCUGCCCAUCGACGCCGUGCAACUCACCACUGCUGAUAUGUCCCUGCUGUACCCCGACUGGACGAACACGACGCUGCGCGAGCAGCUGCUGCAAGGGCUGCGAGAGCUACACUCCCGCCAAGAAACUCAGCGGGAGGAGCAGGCGGCUGCCACCUUGGCUAGCGGCGCGGAGGACAAGCGCACCGUCGGACGCGGUAUCCUCGAUGACCUGUGCAUCUCCGGCAGCCCCGCCGUUGCGCUGCGCCAGCACCAGCGCAAGAAGGAGCUGAUCGAUGUCAGCCUCUCCAUAAUGUGGAAUAUCCAACGUGACGGCACGGUGGCCGGGCACGCUUUCUGGGCCGCCGUGCUGCAAGGCAUGCGUCAGACACCGCUGCUCGACACCCCGCUCUUCGCCCAGUGUAGCUCUCGCACCGUGCGCGAGGUGCUGUGCGGCUCUUACGACCACCUGGACGAAGACUUCACCUUCAGGAGGUCCUUUAUGCUGCUCGUGGAGGACGACGCAACGGUUGAGGGCAGCAGCGCCGCUGGAGGGGCGGCAACGCAGCUCCGCGGCGACCGUCAUUUUGCGCGCAAGUCGGUUCUGCGCGUCCUUGACGAACUCCCCCUCAAGGAGAAGCGUUUACUUCUGCGCUUCAUUACGGGCCACAGCCUGCGCACGCGUCGCUCGCAGAUGGACACGCUGCGUCUGGUCUUGCAGUCUGGAUUCGCCAGGGCACCACCGCGAUGCGGUAAGGCGAAACCGCCUGUGUGUAUGCCGUCUUGGUCGGGCGGGACCCAGCCAGAAGGCGUGGCGAUGGUGGGCGGCGGCGUUGUCAGCGCAGAGACGGCGUCGCUCGCGGGUGCUGAUGAAGACCACUCACACACCACGGCCUCGUCGUACCUCACAGCAUCUGCGGAGGCGGUCGCACGCGCAUGUGUCGACGCGACGAUGCAGCUGCUGCCGGUGGCCCACCCGAGCGAGAAGACGCUGGUCUUCCCAAACUACUUCGAAGCACUAAUUAUGGGGUCCUAUCGCAAGCGAGUCCUCGGCGCUGACCUGCCCGCCUUCAAUCACGCCUCCGGCACCGCCACGACGUCGGAGCUGCAGUUCCCCAUGAGGGCUAGCUGGGGCGCCGCAGCAGCAGCGGCGGGAGGGCACACCGUCUCAUGUGCAGCAAACUCUGCCGAGAGCUGCGUGAGUGUGCCGGCGUCCGUGAAUGGGAGCGUCGCCGCCCCAUUCUUCGAUAGCGCGGACGUGCAGCUCGCCUGGACACAACUAACGGUGACGCAGCAAGAGACGCUGCGCCGGCGCUACCGGGAGCUGCUGCGGCACCGCUUGCGUGCCGCCCUCUACGUCUACUUGCUCUCUAACGCCGAUACGGUGGAAGAGGCGUGGGAGCUAGGUCUCCAGAUGGGUUUCACCUCUCGUGCAGUGCGUAGCGGUGUGGCAUCAACGACGGCGGCUGAUCCCGGCGGGUGUGCAAGUCGAGAAUACAAUGACGACGUCGGCGGUGGCAUCGCGCUCGCCGGUGGCACCUUCAUGCGCUGCGAUGACGGGACAGUCGUGUUUGUCGAGCGCGAGACGGACGAGAACGACGACGGCGUCGCCGGCGACGUCCACGGCUUUGGUGUUGAGGACGACCUCGAUGACGAUCUGUUGGAGGCCGAUGGCAUGGUGCUAGCGGCCGCGAGCAAGGAAAUGACUCUCGACGCGGCGGCGCAUGCCGCCUCGGAGGAGCGGGGUGGUGGCGGUACCGACACGGCGACGCCGGGUAACACAGACCACGCCGGGCAGCAGAAGCGGCCGUUACUCCCCUCGGACCAGCUCACGAGCAGCGUCGGCACAUUGCAUGGCGAUCUGUGUGGCGACUCGACGAGGGGGGACAGCCUGAAUGGCUACUGCAUUGCCGCCACCUUCCGCUUUCCUGAGGACUCUGAAGAAGAUGCUGGUGAGAUGCAGACAGCCGCCGCUGGUGUGGAAGUUGUCUCUGGCUGCGAAGACGGUAGCAUAAACCCCGAAGCGACAUCAUCGUCGGCGACAGUGACGCUGCACAACCACGACGCGAGGGCAGACGUGGCGAGAGAGUUGGCCAGAGACGGCACGCAAGCCUCCCAUCCUGCGCCGCCCGCAUCGUCGGGUGCAUCAGCCGAGGCCGCCAAGUGCCCCAUGAGUGACGACCAAAGUUUAGUACCCAUGGCAGUGGCGCCGCCGCGCCACCCCUCGCUGUUGAAAGUCAGCAUGAUCACCCCUCUAUGGAAGGCGCAGAUGACCGCCGCGGCGGCGUCAGCGCGCAGCUCAUCGAUGGCGUUCACAGGCGCAGCCGUGAAGGCGGCAGGGGCGAAGACUGCGGUGCAGGCAGCGACAAACGGAGGCUCACGCGAUGCCUCCAUGAAGGCUACAUCCACCCCUGAUGUUGCUGUCACCGCGCAUGGCGUUGCUGGGCUGAGCAGGGAGUCGAAGGACGCGCAUCUGCGCUCCGAGAUCGACUCAUGCAUCCGCGAGCUCUUCUCCGAUGACGCGCCAUAGCUGUAAAAGCGCCUUGCCAAGGCUGAGACGGCUGCAUCGUACGUAAUUCCGCCUUCGCCCCCCCCUUACUCUCCCUUCCCCUGGUGUGUCAUUGUGGCUUCUGUCUUUUUCGGAUGGAGCUGCAGUUUUCCGCGGUACGCACACGUGCAAUCCACUAGCUUAGGCUCGCGGCGUCUUGCGUUUGCGUGCGUCGCCCGAUCCACCAGCUGUCGCCCUUUCGUUCUGGCAUAUCUUGCUUGUCCGUCUUUGUCGAUGCUGUACGACGCACACAUAUACGUGUGUGCUGCUGUAAUGGCGUCUGUGUCUCUAUGUAUGCGUCGGAAUAAUGCAUGCACACCCGCGUGUAGGUACAUAUAGAGUGGGAGAUGCAGUUGCUCGCAUGUAUAUCUUAUGUAUAUGUGUAUGUAUAUAUAUAUGUAUAAACAUAUAUGUAUAUGGAAUGACGCCUGUCAGCCUAUGUCUAUUUAUAUGCAUAUAUGUCUAAUUUGUUGCUGUUGCUAUGUACAUAUAUAUAUGGGGGGGGCGUUUGCGAAGAGGCGCCGCUCGUGCUGCGGCUCCUGUUUGUGUGCUGAAAAGGUCAUUUUCUUCUCUCUUCUGUUCUUCUUUCUUAUUCAUUCAUGUCUUCUUCGCCGAGCCUCUUCUUGUCGUUUCUCCCUUCCCCUUCCCCUCUCAUACACACAGGUGAAAGCGACGAAAAAAUACACACACUGCCGGUCUGCCCAUCUGUCUGUGUGUUUCUGUGUGUACCUCCCAUCUCUUGCACGCGCAAAAACGUGUCUUGAUUGUCUUCUUUUUGGUGUGGGCCUCUGUUCUCUUGGGCUCUCUUCUCCUUGCCAACUCCCUCCUUUUCCCUGCCCCUCUCCUUCCUCAGGAAACACGCACGCACACGUAUACGCGAAUCUCUCACGGGGAUCAGAAGAAAGCCAUCACUAAAACGUAUGCGCAUCUCUUGUACGAUACAUUCCUUUUCGGUUGGUGCCGUGUUCCUAUACGUUGUGUAACGUUUGUCAUCGGUCAAACUAAAAGAAAAAGGAAGGAGUGGGGCGCAGGCGCAGACGGAAGACCACGUUGGACGUGGCCUCCUACUCUUUUCGCCCUCCUCCUGAUUCUCUCUCCCUUUGAUAGACCCCACACGGGCACAUGCCCGCCUUGUCUCGUGCUUCGGUAUCCCCCCCCCCUCUCCCCCCUCUCCCUCCCUCGCUCCCCCUCCCCAGCCAUCUCGUCUCUGUUUCGCUCGUUGUUAUCGCGUAUCAUGCAUCUACCUCUUCCCUCCCCUCUGUGAAUCCGCCACGUGUAGGGCGGGUGGGCGCGAAGAAAAAAGAAGGGAAACCAAAAUACGCAUCCGCGGACAGGCUGCUUCUCCGCCCAAGGUCGUGCCGUCUAUAAUAAAUUCGUGUUCAUCUUAAGCUGCACUGGCGCGCGUUGUCGUUGCUCGUGCGCUCUCCUCUCCUUCCCCCUCAUCCCUUUUAGAGGGGAGCGUCUCGCUCUGCGGAGUCCUUCGCCCCUUCUCUGCCCAGCUGCUUUCUAAGCGUAGUUGAUCAAAUCCUUCGGAAAACUCCAUAAAAGGUAGCGCGGGCAGUCAUGUGCCUCCUUUCCUCCUCCUCCCCCUCCCCCUCCCUCUCCCUCUCCCUUCCUACUCCGGGGUCGUUGUUUGACCGCAUUGAUGAAGAGAGAGGGAGUAAGGGACCUGUUGAAGAGAAGGGGGAAGCUGAGGCGUUGGGGGAGGGCUGGAAGGCUGCACAUCGGCGAGGGAGUGUUGAAACUCCUGGAUAAUGGCUUCAAUCCCCCUUGGGGGGUGGCGUCGUCUGCGUUUUCCUAUAUAGUUAUAUAUAUAUAUGUUCUCCCACAUGCAUGUGUCGGGUGCGUAUGUCGCAUCAUGCCUGCCUCCUCCCUUUUACCGAUGUGUGUGUGUGUGUGUGUGCAUGUAAUGUGUGCACCUGGCCAUGUAUCUUCUUUACGCGUGCCUGGAACUGUAACAGGAGGGGCGCCGUGCGCCCUUAUCCUUCUCGUCUUUCCUUUCGUCAUCGUUGAUCGCUCUGUCUUCCUCACCCUACUACCUCGCACGAUCCUCCUCCUUAGGGCACAGAGAGGUUGUCGCUCUCCGCGCUCGCUCUUCUGCUGCGCAUCUUCUCUGCUCCGCCUCCCCUGUGCCGGUAGUGAAAGGCACCUUUGAUUCGCGGAUGUUUGGUGUGCUGGGGGGGUGUUUCUCUGCGUUUGUUGUGGAUGGCACACCUCCCGCGCCUUCCGGGACUUCACACUCGACGGUAGCGGCCACUGACUUGGCCAGUAACAUGU